UACAGAGGGGGCAAGCGUUGUUCGGAAUUACUGGGCGUAAAGGGCGCGUAGGCGGCCUUCUAAGUCGAACGUGAAAUCCCCGGGCUCAACCCGGGAACUGCGUCCGAGACUGGAAGGCUUGAAUCCGGGAGAGGGAUGCGGAAUUCCAGGUGUAGCGGUGAAAUGCGUAGAUAUCUGGAGGAACACCGGUGGCGAAGGCGGCAUCCUGGACCGGUAUUGACGCUGAGGAGCGAAAGCCAGGGGAGCAAACGGG
rnacentral:rRNA from 1 species